rnacentral:rRNA from 1 species
GAACGAUGAAGCCGGAGCUUGCUCUGGUGGAUUAGUGGCGAACGGGUGAGUAACACGUGAGUAACCUGCCCCUGACUCUGGGAUAAGCGCUGGAAACGGCGUCUAAUACCGGAUAUGCGCUGUAACCGCAUGGUUUGCAGCGGGAAAGAUUUAUCGGUUGGGGAUGGACUCGCGGCCUAUCAGCUUGUUGGUGAGGUAAUGGCUCACCAAGGCGUCGACGGGUAGCCGGCCUGAGAGGGUGACCGGCCACACUGGGACUGAGACACGGCCCAGACUCCUACGGGAGGCAGCAGUGGGGAAUAUUGCACAAUGGGCGCAAGCCUGAUGCAGCAACGCCGCGUGAGGGAUGACGGCCUUCGGGUUGUAAACCUCUUUUAGCAGGGAAGAAGCCUUCGGGUGACGGUACCUGCAGAAAAAGCGCCGGCUAACUACGUGCCAGCAGCCGCGGUAAUACGUAGGGCGCAAGCGUUAUCCGGAAUUAUUGGGCGUAAAGAGCUCGUAGGCGGUUUGUCACGUCUGCUGUGAAAACUGGAGGCUCAACCUCCAGCCUGCAGUGGGUACGGGCAGACUAGAGUGCGGUAGGGGAGAUUGGAAUUCCUGGUGUAGCGGUGGAAUGCGCAGAUAUCAGGAGGAACACCGAUGGCGAAGGCAGAUCUCUGGGCCGUUACUGACGCUGAGGAGCGAAAGGGUGGGGAGCAAACAGGCUUAGAUACCCUGGUAGUCCACCCCGUAAACGUUGGGAACUAGUUGUGGGGGCUUUUCUACGGUCUCCGUGACGCAGCUAACGCAUUAAGUUCCCCGCCUGGGGAGUACGGCCG